CCAAUGCGGAAAGGUGAAAGCCUAGGGUGCAAGCUCUGGGUCUAAGCCCCCGUGAAUGUCGGCCGUAACUAUAACGGUCCUAAGGUAGCGAAAUUCCUUGUCGGGUAAGUUCCGACCCGCACGAAUCGUGUAACGAGUUGACGACUGUCUCGGAGAGAUGCUCGGUGAAAUUGUAGUGGCGGUGAAGAUGCCGCCUACCCGCAGCAGGACGGAAAGACCCUAUGCACCUUUACUGUAAGCUGUUAUUGUCGCUUGAUUUUUAAUACGUAGAAUAGGAGGGAGACUUCGAAGCCUAGUUUCAGGAUUGGGCUGAGUCACAACGUGAAAUACCUCUUUUUAAUUGUUAGGCGUCUAACCUCAUACCAUUAACUGGUUGUGGGACAGUGAUAGCAGGUCAGUUUUUCUGGGGCGGAAUCCUCCCAAAGAGUAACGGAGGAUUACGAAGGUUCCCUCGGCCCGGUCGGUAAUCGGGCUAUAGAGCGCAUGAGUAUAAGGGAGCUUUACUGUGAGACCAACAAGUCGAGCAGUUGCGAAAGCAGGUUCAAGUGAUCCGGUGGUUGAAUGUG
rfam:Reticulomyxa filosa contig52028_1.exp, whole genome shotgun sequence.